UGCCGAACGCGUUCUUUUCCGGACAAGCU
rnacentral:piRNA from 1 species